AAUUAUAACUUUGAAACUAAAGAAAGUCAUAGUUUGUCCUAGGUUUGGCGCAGUACCACAUCAUUUUGUGUGAAACCGCUCAGUGCACUACAUCUCUCGUCUUGCACAAUAUACGUCACCUUGCUUGCUAGCUAGCUAGCUAGCUAGCUUAGCUCUGUGCCACAACACAUGUAACGUUAUCUUACCUGACGUGUUUUAUCCAGUGAAAUGUUUUCAGCCGAUAAGCAAAAGAACAA